rnacentral:rRNA from 1 species
UACGUAGGGUGCGAGCGUUAUCCGGAAUUAUUGGGCGUAAAGAGCUCGUAGGCGGUUUGUCACGUCUGCUGUGAAAACUGGAGGCUCAACCUCCAGCCUGCAGUGGGUACGGGCAGACUAGAGUGCGGUAGGGGAGAUUGGAAUUCCUGGUGUAGCGGUGGAAUGCGCAGAUAUCGGGAGGAACACCCGUAGCGAAGGCGGCACUCUGGGCCGGAACUGACGCUGAGGAGCGAAAGCGUGGGGAGCAAACAGG